GCAAAAUGUGGGCGAGUAAUUUUGUAGGACCUAUUCGUCUUAGCGCAGCUGCUUGGCAAACCGUAUAAGCCUGUGCCUUCUGAUUAAUUCUGGUUUACAUAACUGUUUCUCUGGUCCCAUUUCUUUCCUCUGACGUUUUCCAAAGGAAUUAGAUUAUCAAUUUCUGUUAGGCUAAACUGUCUGUGGGCAAGCGAUGUUAACAUGCAAACAGGUGGAU
rnacentral:misc_RNA from 1 species